rnacentral:rRNA from 1 species
AUACGUAGGGGGCGAGCGUUGUCCGGAAUGAUUGGGCGUAAAGGGCGCGUAGGCGGCGCGGUAAGUCUGGAGUGAAAGUCCUGCUUUCAAGGUGGGAAUUGCUUUGGAUACUGCCGCGCUUGAGUGCAGGAGAGGUUAUCGGAAUUCCCGGUGUAGCGGUGAAAUGCGUAGAGAUCGGGAGGAACACCAGUGGCGAAGGCGGGUAACUGGACUGCAACUGACGCUGAGGCGCGAAAGUGUGGGGAGCAAACAGGAUUAGAUACCCUGGUAAUCCACACUGUAAACGAUGAAUGCUAGGUGUAAGAGGUAUCGACCCCUUUUGUGCCGGAGUCAACACAAUAAGCAUUCCGCCUGGGGAGUACGGCCGCAAGGUUGAAACUCAAAUGAAUUGACGGGG